AAGCGGCACUCUGUGGCAGAUGAUCAGAACUGUCUGACGCAAUGUGAGCUUGCUACUGCAGCACAGUCUAACCUAUUCCAGCACUCUCUCCUCCAUGAGACAAGCUAUUGUACCGACUUAGACGGU